GAUGAACGCUGGCGGCGUGCCUAAUACAUGCAAGUCGAGCGAACAGACGAGGAGCUUGCUGCUCUGACGUUAGCAACGGACGGGUGAGUAGCAAGUAGCUUACCUACCUAUAAGACUGGGAUAACUUCGGGAAACCGGAGCUACUACCGGAUAAUAUAUUGAACCGCAUGGUUCUGUAGUGAAAGAUGGUUUUUCUGUGACUUAUAGAUGGAUCAGCGCCGCAUUAGCUAGUUGGUAAGGUAACGGCCUACCAAGGAACCGAUGCGUAGCCGACAGGAGCGGGGGAUCGGCCACACGAGAGCUGAAACGCCGACACUGCGCCUACGGGAGGCAGCAGUAGGGAAUGGUCCGCAAUGGUCGGAAGCCUGACGCAGCGACGCAGCGUGUGUGAUGAAGGUCUUCGGAUAGGAAUACUCGCUUAUGAGUGAAGAACAAAUUUGUGAGGGAAUAUGCACGUCGUGACGGUACCUGAACAGAAAGCAACGGCUAACUACGUG
rnacentral:rRNA from 1 species